rnacentral:rRNA from 1 species
ACGCUGGCGGCAGGCCUAACACAUGCAAGUCGAACGGUAACAGGAAGAAGCUUGCUUCUUUGCUGACGAGUGGCGGACGGGUGAGUAAUGUCUGGGAAACUGCCCGAUGGAGGGGGAUAACUACUGGAAACGGUAGCUAAUACCGCAUAACGUCGCAAGACCAAAGAGGGGGACCUUCGGGCCUCUUGCCAUCGGAUGUGCCCAGAUGGGAUUAGCUUGUUGGUGAGGUAACGGCUCACCAAGGCGACGAUCCCUAGCUGGUCUGAGAGGAUGACCACCCACACUGGAACUGAGACACGGUCCAGACUCCUACGGGAGGCAGCAGUGGGGAAUAUUGCACAAUGGGCGCAAGCCUGAUGCAGCCAUGCCGCGUGUAUGAAGAAGGCCUUCGGGUUGUAAAGUACUUUCAGCGGGGAGGAAGGGAGUAAAGUUAAUACCUUUGCUCAUUGACGUUACCCGCAGAAGAAGCACCGGCUAACUCCGUGCCAGCAGCC